CCAUAUUUAUUGCGUGGGCACGAAUCGCCACUUAAUUUAUAUAUUUUGUCGUGGCGUGAAUCGCCACUUUUUAUCUUAUAUAUUUUUAUUAUUGUGCCGGCGCAAAUCGCCACCUUUUAUUUUACAGGUGCUAAUCGCCGCAUUAUAUUAUUUAUUUCUUUGUUUGUGUGUGUUUAAUAUUAUUAUAUAGCUGUAUAGGUAGCGGCUGGCCAGCAGUACUCCACAAAUUAAAUGCACUGCCAAUGUCAAGUCGAUCUUACAAAUUAAUCAUAAAGAAUGUUGAAGACGUGCGGUGGUUCCCGGUCAAGGAUUCGGUUCGGUUGAUCGUACUGGCCAAGAACUCGACCCUUUGACAUUAUCCAAUUAUUCGACGGGUUUUUCACAGUCAUAUUUGUGACGAAUAGAAUCUACGAAACGACCAGAAUCCCCAAACAAUAAGGUUAACAUGACAACGAGUUAACCGUGGUCCGUGAGGAUGGCUGGAUGAUCCGAAGGAAAGUACAACGGGAAAACAUUAUAAGAAUUGCUUAUAGAAUUGAAUUUGAGACAUCACAAAAAGCAUUAUAAAAGUGAAAACUUUGUGAUGAAGCUUGAGAUAAUACCUGUAUAAUAUUCAUAUUUAUUCCAUUAUAAUAAUUGUGCAAUGUUAUACAUAGCAGUUUAGAAAUUAUCAUUUUAAUUUUUUCGUUAAUGUAUAACGAAUAUUAAUAGAGUUGAUUAUUUGAAAUUAAUAAAUUAAUA